rnacentral:rRNA from 1 species
UACGUAGGGUGCAAGCGUUGUCCGGAAUUAUUGGGCGUAAAGAGCUCGUAGGCGGUUUGUCGCGUCUGCUGUGAAAACUCGGGGCUUAACCCCGGGCCUGCAGUGGGUACGGGCAGACUAGAGUGCGGUAGGGGAGACUGGAAUUCCUGGUGUAGCAGUGAAAUGCGCAGAUAUCAGGAGGAACACCGGUGGCGAAGGCGGGUCUCUGGGCCGCAACUGACGCUGAGGAGCGAAAGCGUGGGGAGCAAACAGG